rnacentral:ncRNA from 1 species
CGUAAACGAUGUCCGCUGGUUAUUGGAGAUUUUUUCUUCAGUGACGAAGUUAACACGUUAAGCGGACCGCCUGGGGAGUACGAACGCAAGUUUAAAACUCAAAGGAAUUGACGGGGAGGCGCACAAGCAGUGGAGCGUGUGGUUUAAUUCGAGGCCAAGCGAAGAACCUCACCAGGACUUGACAUGUAGCUGCAAGCGCACGGAAACGUGUGACCUUCGAGGGGGCUACACAGAUGCUGCAUGGCUGUCGUCAGCUCGUGGCGUGAGCUGUACCGUUAAGUCGGGUAACGAGCGCAACCCCCACCGUAUGUUAAAUAAUUCAUAUGGAACAGGUCGCCUUUUGGCGACAGGAAGACGGGGAUGACGUCAAGUCAGCACGGCUCUUACGUCCUGGGCUACACACACCCUACAAUGGGUAGUAACAACGAGUUGCAAGCCGGUAACGGCAAGCUAAUCUCUAAAAUCUACCCUCAGUUCAGAUUGAGGUCUGAAAUUCGACCUCAUGAAGAUGGAAUUGCUAGUAAUCGCGAAUCAGCAGGUCGCGGUGAAUACGUUCUCGCCUCUUGUACUAUUAAAUUGCGCCUUUCGGCCAGUUUUUCCAGAAGGUGAAACUCCUUCUAAGCAAUG